UUUAUAUAGUUUAAUACAAAACACUAGGCUGUGAUCCUAGUAAUAGAGGCCACCUCUUAUAGACC
rnacentral:tRNA from 1 species